rfam:Myotis brandtii contig179999, whole genome shotgun sequence.
GAGACACCCUUAUAGGGCAGGACUUGCUUCCAUGGAACUUUGGUGCUCACUGAGUCUGCCCUUGAGUGUGUCACU